CCUACGGGAGGCAGCAGUGGGGAAUAUUGCACAAUGGGCGAAAGCCUGAUGCAGCGAUGCCGCGUGCGGGAAGAAGGCCUUAGGGUUGUAAACCGCUUUCAGUAGGGAAGAAAAUGACGGUACCUACAGAAGAAGGUGCGGCCAACUACGUGCCAGCAGCCGCGGUGACACGUAGGCACCAAGCGUUGUCCGGAUUUAUUGGGCGUAAAGAGCUCGUAGGCGGUUUGGUAAGUCGGGUGUGAAAACUCUGGGGCUCAACCCCGAGAGAGGCCACUCGAUACUGCUAUGACUUGAGUACGGUAGGGGAGUGGGGAAUUUCUAGUGUAGCGGUGAAAUGCGCAGAUAUUAGAAGGAACACCAGUGGCGAAGGCGCCACUCUGGGCCGUAACUGACGCUGAGGAGCGAAAGCAUGGGUAGCAAACAGGAUUAGAUACCCUGGUAGUCCAUGCCGUAAACGUUGGGCACUAGGUGUGGGUCUNAACCACGAGAUCGCGCGUCGCUACGCAUAGUGCCCGCCGUCGGGAGGUACGGUCGCGACGAACGUAAACCUACAACGAAGUAGACGGCGNGAGACGNGCCGACGGACGACGACGAGGGAGAGG
rnacentral:rRNA from 1 species